rnacentral:rRNA from 1 species
UACGUAGGGGGCGAGCGUUGUCCGAAAUUACUGGGCGUAAAGCGCACGUAGGUGGCUCUGUAAGUUAUAUCUUAAAGACAGCAGCUCAACUGCUGUAAGUGGUGUAAGACUGCGGAGCUUGAGGCAAGCAAAAGAGUGUGGAACUCCGAGUGUAGCGGUGGAAUGCGUAGAGAUUCGGAAGAACACCCAUGGCGAAGGCAGCACUCUGGGCUUGAGAGAGAUUCAUAGCGAUAAUGAAUUACCUGACACUGAGGAGCGAAAGCCAGGGGAGCGAACGGG